rnacentral:lncRNA from 1 species
UUUUUUUUUUUUUAAGUCCGAGUGAUUAAACAGGUAGUUUCCUUUGUAUUGGCCUCAUAUUGAUGCAUUAAUAUUUGAUUGGAUAGGGUCUUAGUUUCUGUCUUGGUUUGUGGUUUAGCUGUAAACUGACACAAGGUCUUAUGGUUAGUCUUCUUAGGGGCAGGAACUAGAGCUGGGUACCUGGAGUGGAUUUGCAAAUGUUGAGUGCUUUUGAGCCAUAAGCCCUGAACUGAAAUUUUUUUUUUCUUUUUUUCUUUUUAGGCCUCACCCGUGACAUAUGGAGGUUCCCAGGCUAGGGGUCAAAUCAGAGCUAUAGCUGCCAGCCUACACCAUAGCUCACAGAAGCACCAGAUCCCUGACCCACUGAAUGAAGCCAGGGAUUGAACCCGCAUUCUCAUGGAUACUAUUUGGAUUCGUUACCACUGCGCCACAAUGGGAACUCGUGAGAAUUUUUCUUAACUUCCUGAUGAUUGGCUUUUGGGUAUUAGGGCAAAGUCUCACAAAGGUGGGAAAGCUUGUACCAGUACCAUGCUAGCUCUAUCUUCUUUUAAACAAUUUAUCAAGCUACCUUUAACUCUGGCCCCUCAGUGCUCUCUUUCCCAUGAGCUUCUUGGAUUGUUGAUAUUAGGUCCACCCAGGGUGAAUUUAAGCUAAAACUGGCAGUAGAUUCCAGGAAGCCUUCUACCUAAUAUCUACUAAUCUCUGUGGGGGUCUUGAUGGCAGAGGGAUGGGAGAAGGUGAUGAGGCAGAAAGAAAUAGUGGCUGAGCCAUUAUCCUGGUGGAUUGGGGAGAUGGCUGAAUUAUCUAGGAGAGGUUAUUAAGAGUCAGAGAAUUCUUAGUCAAUCAAAAUAUAAAAAUCUAAGACUGUAUGUGCUGUAGGCAUGUCUGGGGAGAAGCAUGGAGCCCUGUUUAAGGCUGUAGUGUGAAGCAGGGUAGCUGUUAAGGGCCCCCAUAAACAUUAGUUAGGGAAUAUCAGUCACACCCGAGGAAGGCUCUGCUCCUGUUAUUGAGGAUUGUUGAAGAAAUGAAUCAUAUUCUUGGUGAAAGAAUAGCUGUGUUUAUUCGUUGUGUUUUACACUGUAUUGAAGCCACAGCCCUGGAGAUUUAUGCUACCAGUAACUUUGUUUUAUAGAUAAGGACUCCAAGACUCCAUAAUUGCUUAAUAUCUCCAGCCAGAGUUGAAACUCAGGUCUGUCUGAUUCUGAAACCUGUGUGCUUAACCAUAUGUAUCUUGUUAUAAAAAUAACUGAGUUCCCAAUGUGGCUCAGUGGAAAUGAACCUAACUAGCAUCCAUAAGGCCUUGCUCAGUGGGUUAAGGAUCUGGCAUUGUUGUGAGCUGUGACAUAGGUCACAGGCUAGAUUUGGAUCCUGUGUGGCUGUGGCAUAGGCCAGCAGCCACAGCUCUCACUCGAUCCCUUGCCUUGGAACCUUCGUAUGCCAUGGGUGCAGCCCUAAAAAUACAAAUACAAAUACUACUACUACUAAUAGUAACUGUAUGUGACUAAUUUACAAAGCUGAAAAUUAUAGUUCAGUUUAUGAUGCCGAGAGCAAGCAAAACACUGUAAAAGGCUUUGGCAGGUUAAUUGGGUAGUACUUACUUGGGGAAGAUGACUUUAGGAACAGUUGUAGCAUGAGAGAAUGAUACAUAGCUUUUUCCUUUGCAUAGAUUUAGAGGAUCUUGAGAUGCCUUUGAAUUUGGGUAGUCUGCCCAUAGAGUCUCUGCUCAGCUGCAGCCCUGUGGAUUGGCAGAGCAGGGUUUUUUGAUGAGAAGGCUGGACCUUAGUAUUCAAGGCCAGGAGAUGAUAGUGCCAGUUCUGAAACAUGGCACCCUUCUCUUUUCUCUUGACCAGCUCACAGAAUGGCUUUUAGAAUAGCAUUAUUGUUUUCCAUAUAUCUAAUAUGGACCUGGUCAGGAGAAAGGAACCCUGUCAUUAGGUAACAAAGUCUCAUUAGCUUGAUCCAAAUAAAGGGAAGUGAUUGGGAUUCUGGAGCUACAUCUUCUCCCCAAAGGUCAGGGGUCUUCACACUGUUUUGAGUAUAGGUAGUAAACUCAUUAACUUCAAUUCAUGUUUGCAUUAGUGAUUUCACUUGAUCUUCAAUACAACCCUGUAAGCGAGGCAGGAUAGUAUCAUUUGUCAGAUGGCGAGACUGAGGUUAAGCAACUUGGGCUUUGUCCCUCUCUUGAUCUUUGACCUUAAGCAAGUAAUUUAAACCCAAGCUUUGCUUUCUCCUCUGUAAAAUGAAAAUAACUAUACUUUCUUUGCCUGAGAGUCUUGAGAGAAUGAAAUGCUGUAUGUAAAACACUUAGCACAGUGCUUGGCAAGUAGUAGAUGCUCAGCAGUACGUGGAAUGGAUUGAAGCUAUCUGUCAUCACCAUCACCACUGGCUCACUUUAUUUAAACUGGGGCCAGAGACCCCUGUUGGCUUCUGGGUCUUAGGCUGCUAAAUGAGUGAGGAGCCCUCAGCCCCAUUGCCAGGAGAAGGAAAGACUGAGGAAGCCUGAGUAUAUCAUAUUAUAUAUUAUCCUUCACAUCUCAUCUUAACCAACUCUGGAUAGGUUGGAUAUUUAUUUGGAGUACCAGACCCACAGUGGAGCCUCGGUGUCAGCUUCCUGGACUGCCUUUGUAAAGCUUUUAAGAUAAGAUCUGCACUGGUCUCGUGGGAGAGGGAUAUUCGGAUUGAUUCUGAAUCUCUUACUCCCCUAAGAACUGUGCCCUUUUCUCUGUAACUUAAGGACUUCACAGCUGUGUUGGUGUUAGGGAGUUUGGUGCUUCUCUUGACAGCUUGUGAAGGGUGGGCAGGCACCUGUGAAUUCUUCACUUGCCUCGUGAGAAUGACUUCACCCCAGGAUGUUGAGGUCCCAGUUAUCUCAUCUGCUACUAUAAAAUUCCUCUGUCUUAGAUACUAGUUUCUUUUAAGAUCAGUCUUUCCUUAACCCCUAGGGAUCUUGAACCCUGCUAAAUGUCGAGUGACUGAAUGGAGUCCUCUAUUUGCUUUUAGCUUGCAUUAUAGUGUUUGGUCUUAUCUCUCUGUUUCUUCCAUGGCAGUAAUAGCACUACUGGAAAAAGCUCUGGAUUGGGAGUUGGAGAUGCAGGUUCUAGUUGGGGCACCAGAAUUUUCUUGGACAAGUUGCUAUACGUUUUUGAGCCUCAGUUUCCCCAUAUGAAGAUAAAAUGGUUCUCUGUUCCUUUUUGGUUUGUGUCUUUUUAGGAGUAGACCUCUUUCCCCCCCCCCCAAAUAAAAUCUUGCCUAGAGCCCUAUUAUAGAGACAGAACACAGUUUGUUUUGUUCUGGAACAGAGUUGCUGUGAUUGAAGCAAGUCCAGCAGUUUUGCUGCCCCCCACUGAUUCCUUGUCCCAAACAUAGAUGUGCAUUUUGUACUUGUCUGGGGGCCUCUAGGACUCUGUCAAGAGACUUUGGACAUUGCUGGUGCAGGAUCAUCUCUACAACGCUAAGAAUUUUUUUGCUGUUGACAGGUAGGUAGUAAAAAUCUGUAAAACCUGUAUGUUAAAUGUGUAAGUAGACCAUGGAGUCUUCAAGAAGAAUUAGAUUUUCACUGAUGUAUUUGAAAGAUUCUAAAGUUUGGCUCAGUCUGUAGUGUUUUGUAUAUUGUAGUGUCCAGUAAAGACUGACUUAAUUUUUGCUUGCAGGAUAAAUAUAGUUUUUUAAUAGUGGCAGACACUUUAUUUCCCUAUCUUAUGGACCAGUUCCUUCUGGGAAUACCCGUAGGAUCCAACCAUUAAUAUAAUUCAGUAGUGGAACUAGAUUCCUUUACAGAUUUUUCUCUUGUAGGUAUUUAGGUAUUCUCCAUUACAAUGUAUAUAAUAUAAAUAGAACAUUUGCUAUUGUUAACUUAUGUUUCAGGAGUCAUUCUAGUGCCAGUUCCAUAUAGAACUUUCUAAUUUUAAAGAGGAAGAGUGGAAUAGAAAGAAAAGCAUAUGUACUUUAGAAUAGAGGGAUCUAAGUUUGAAAAAGACUCUGUCAGUAACUAGCUAUGUUUGGGCAAACUAUUACUCUAGUUUUUCAAUCAUGAUUUACACAUUUGUAAAUUGAGCCAAUAAUACUUGCUAACCUUUUGCAGAACUGUUGUAAGGAUUAGGGAUAAUGGGUCUUCCUCCCCCCAGCGAAUGUUAAGUCAGACAAAAGGACAAAGAUUAGUCUGUUAGGGAAUUCUCAUAGAAGAGCAUCCAAUUUUGUUAUAUAUAUUGUUUUAUAUGAAUAUAUAUUAUAUAUUGUUAGUGGGGUCAAAUGGUAGAUCACCCAGUGUGAUUUAUUCUUGCUUAGGCAUUUAUUCACUUCAGGGAACACUUGUUUAUAUAUUACCCAUUUUGCAAGACGUAUUAUAGAGGAAUAAUUAAGAACAUGGACUCUAGAGCCAGCCUGCCUGGGUUUGAAUCUUGGCUCCACCAUUUACCUGCUGAUUUUUUUUUUUUUUUUUUUUUUUUUUUUUUAAACUAGGGGACAAAUCCCUGUUGAGUCUUAUAGGAAGAGAAAAGUUAAGCGCACAGGCUGGAGAAAGGGUCUGGUAGCGUAGCACCAGUGAUACAGCUGAAAAUUUAGCAAGUGGCUGGUCUGACCCCAAUAGCGUAUUUCUACUACAUUCUGGUUAUGGACGUCUUUUCUGCCUCAUUCAAGUAUGCUGUUCGUUAAGUUUUUUUUUUUUUUUUAAACAAAUACUAGCAAUCAUAGAUUUUUUUUUUUUUUUAAUUUUCCCACUGUACAGCAAGAGGGUCAGGUUAUCCUUACAUGUAUGCAUUACAAUUACAUUUUUUCCCCCACCCUUUCUUCUGUUGCAACAUGAGUGUCUAGACAUAGUUCUCAAUGCUAGCAAUCAUAGAUUUGAGGAGAGGGGCUUGUACACCUGGAAGACAUCUGGGGUUAUCUUUAGCCCCUCUUUUACAUAUGGAGAAGGGUGAGAGUAUAAGCCUCAUUAAACAAACCACAGCAUGUUUAGUGGCAGAACCAACUGGGUUCUUAUACACACUCCUGGACUUUGUCCCUCUUACACAACAGGGAAUACUCACUUUUUUAUUUUUAUUUUUUAAUUUUCACAAGAUUUUUAUUGUUUUUUGCUGUGCCCAUGGCAUGUGGAAGUUCCUGGGCCAGGAAUUGAACCCGUACCAUGGCAGCAGCCCUGGCUUCUAAGUGACAGCUCUGGAUCCUUAACCCACUGUACCAUAAAGGAACUCUGAUACUCACUUUUAAAAAAGACUGGAUAAGCAGUUCUUGCUGGUGAAGAGUAGCAAAACUUAGCUUUUAAUAAAUUAUAGGAAAAGAAGAAAUAUGCCUACCCUAGGGAGUUAGUUUUUCCUCAGAGGUUGUGGACCAUCAGGUUCUCUGAGUGCUUGGAAGGCUGAAAGGGGAAUAACCAGUGAGGUGGGGCUGUCAGAUAGGAUUUCUCAGAUAAUAGAGUUUUUGAGCCAGGCAGGGCUCACAGGAGAGGGUGUUCCUGAUAGCUAAUGGAAUGCUGUCCUCAAGUGAUGCAACAUGCUGCUUCCAUAACAGUAAUGGGGGCUCAUUCAUAACCAUCUCACAGGAAAUGAAGGCUUAGAGUAGCCGAGAAAGUUGCCCAAGAUGAAGCUUCAAAGUAAUGAAACCAUAGUUCAGCUCCAGAUCUAUCUGAUUUCAAAGCUAAUGUGUUUCCUACAAAAUAUGCUGCCCCCUCCAAGUGUGAAUGAACAUUCUCAGAAGGAUUGAGCUCAAACUGGAGCCACGCUUUCAGAGGACCUCUGUAAAAAGAGAAAGGGCCAGGAGUUGCUGUCAUGGCUCAGCCGAAACGAAUCUGACUAGCCUCCAUCAGCAUGCAGGCUUGAUCCCUGGCCAUGUUCAGUGGGGUAAGGAUCCAGCGUUGCCAUGAGCUGUGCUGUAGGCCAGCUGUUGUGUAGAUCCAAGCAGAUGUGGCUCAGAUCUGGUGUUGCUGUGGCUGUGGUAUAGGCCAGCGGCUACAGCUCUGGUUCGACCCCUAGCCUGAGAACUUCCAUAUGCC